AAGUCGUAACAAGGUUUCCGUAGGUGAACCUGCGGAAGGAUCAUUAGUGUGAGAGGGUGCCUGGGACCAGUGGGUCGCGGGGCUCUUGCUCUCCCUGUGCUGCGUGUUUUUGGUGGUGGUGUGGCGCAUUGCUGUCUGACAGCGCGCGCCCACCCACACACACACAUUUCACCCUUUUUACCUGGUUGUCUGAUCACACUGUGCCGCAUGGCACACAACACAUCGAAAACUGCCAGCAAUGGAUCACUCGGUUCUC
rnacentral:misc_RNA from 1 species